rnacentral:rRNA from 1 species
UACGUAGGGUGCAGGCGUUAAUCGGAAUUACUGGGCGUAAAGCGUGCGCAGGCGGUUUUGUAAGCCGGAUGUGAAAUCCCCGGGCUUAACCUGGGAAUGGCAUUCGGGACUGCAAGGCUGGAGUGCGGCAGAGGAGACUGGAAUUCCUGGUGUAGCAGUGAAAUGCGUAGAUAUCAGGAGGAACACCGAUGGCGAAGGCAGGUCUCUGGGCUGACACUGACGCUCAUGCACGAAAGCGUGGGGAGCGAACAGG